GGGGAUUUAGCUCAGUGGUAGAGCGCUUGCCUAGGAAGCGCAAGGCCCUGGGUUCAGUCCCAGUCCCCA
rnacentral:tRNA from 1 species